UGCCCACUAUAUACUGGUUUUGGAUGAUUUUGGCACAUUUUGGAACUGCUAUGUUGCCAUGGAAACUACACCAAAAAUUUCAAAAAUAUGGAAAAUGCUCCAAAUUUUUUGAAACUUCAGCAUAACGAUGAGCAACUUUGGUAGAUGUGGAAUUUGGCGUUGGAAUUUCCAAAAUGUCUGCCGUUUCCAUGGAAACAAUGCAAAAAGGUCAAAAUGCUCCAAAAACUUCCGGGUUUGGUGAAUAACUUUGGUAUGCUUGAACUUAAAAUCAUCAAAUUUUUAUGCAAUAUAGUUGUCCACUAUAUACAGGUUUUGAAUGAUUUUGAUAAUCAUUGGAACUACUAUGUUACCAUGGAUACAGGAGCAAAAAUUUCAAAAUGCUUCAAAAUUGAUGAAACUUGAUAUGAUUGUUGACUGUCAA
rnacentral:lncRNA from 1 species